GUCGGAUUAGCUAGUUGGUGGGGUAAAGGCCUACCAAGGCGACGAUCCGUAACUGGUCUGAGAGGAUGAUCAGUCACACUGGAACUGAGACACGGUCCAGACUCCUACGGGAGGCAGCAGUGGGGAAUAUUGGACAAUGGGCGAAAGCCUGAUCCAGCCAUGCCGCGUGUGUGAAGAAGGUCUUCGGAUUGUAAAGCACUUUAAGUUGGGAGGAAGGGCAGUAAGUUAAUACCUUGCUGUUUUGACGUUACCAACAGAAUAAGCACCGGCUAACUUCGUGCCAGCAGCCGCGGUAAUACGAAGGGUGCAAGCGUUAAUCGGAAUUACUGGGCGUAAAGCGCGCGUAGGUGGUUCAGCAAGUUGGAUGUGAAAUCCCCGGGCUCAACCUGGGAACUGCAUCCAAAACUACUGAGCUAGAGUACGGUAGAGGGUGGUGGAAUUUCCUGUGUAGCGGUGAAAUGCGUAGAUUUAGGAAGGAACACCAGUGGCGAAGGCGACCACCUGGACUGAUACUGACACUGAGGUGCGAAAGCGUGGGGAGCAAACAGGAUUAAAUACCC
rnacentral:rRNA from 1 species